AUCCAGCUGACGAAUCUGAGUAGGACGAAACGCGUGUCCUGGAU
rnacentral:hammerhead_ribozyme from 1 species